CUGCUGCAGCAGACACACCAGUGACUGCAUCGUGUCACCUAAUACCGUUGCAGGAAUGAAGUGCCCUUAAAUAGGGGGCUGACAAAUUUAUAGCCAAAGAAGAAUCUCUCUCGCAGCACACAGCAUAAAGGUGAGGAUCAUGAAUGCUGAUCUGUUGAAAGAACAUCUUGCUGAGAGUUACCAAAUUCUGGAACGCAGAACAAAGAUCUCCCUGGACUAAAUAAGAACAAAACAGCAUGCAUAAAGAACCAGAAGAAGAAGAAGAAGUGGUGGCCGGAUGAUUCUACUGCCUUCAUCUCUGUUUCCCCCCUCUAUUUGUAUUCCUUAAGACGAGAAUGCGUAUUAUUCUAUGACUACAUCCUGGAACCUCUUUGGGAAUUUUAUAAUGAUCUGAACUAAAUAUAACUGGAGGCAGUCUACACACAUCUGUGAUCAAAAUAGAUGGUGUGCAUUCUGCUUAAGGUUUCUAGGGGCUGCGCUGAAAGGUGAUGCAAUACAAGGAGGAGAAAGAGAUUUGCUAAGGUUCCUAUUCCAUCCUUCUACAAGAGGUCUAAAACUUAGGACUGUCAGAUUGCUGAUGGGCAGAUGCUCAAUAAUAACUAAAGCUAAAGAAGAUGCAAGAUCACUGUUCCUUGCUUUCCCCCUCGGAGCUUUAUAUGUAUAGUGCCAUGCUGAGGCAAACACAAUAUAGGACGUUUGUAUACAAAGCUUGCACUGGAUUGUACAGCGAAUGUAAAUUUCAGGCUACAUGUGCCAUAGUUUCUGAUGGCAGAAACUUAUGGGAACUGUAGGCCACAUCAUCUGGAAUCUAUCAGUUUGGGUACCCAAUGCAGGCUUUGAAAAAUGCAAGGGCGCUCCCCUUCAGCAUAGACGCUCACACGUUCUAAAAUGUGAUAAAGAAACAAACAGGAUCUUCUUGCGGCAAGACUGCUCCCACUGUUUCAAGGUUCCUAGUUCCAUCUAUUAGACUAAGGUGUGUGUAUGUGUGUGUCUUUCAGUGUGCAUGUGAGGGUUUCAGUAUGGAUCAAGGUGUGUUGCUGCAGUGUGGGGAGGGGUUGCAGGGCAGGAUGGGGUUGGUAGUGGGGGUUUAAUGGAGUGUGCAUGGGGUUUCAGUGUGGGUCAGUGUCUGCGCGUUUGGAUCAGUAGAAGAUGCAGUGUUGUGAAAGGGCUGUUUGUGUGGGGCAGGUUGUGUGGGUGUUUCACUUUGGGGUGUGGUUUCAGUUUUGGGCAGGGUGUGUGUGGAGGUUCGGUGUGGAGCAAGGUGUGAGUGGGUGUGUUUGUCACUGUGGGGUUAGUUGUGAGUGGGCUCCCGUAGACUUCAGUGGGGCAAGAGAACCUUAAUAACUUUUGAACCACUGCUCAGAGCUUUGGAUAGGGUUAAGAAUUCAAUACACUUUGCAUUUAAAGGAAAAAAUAUCAAAUGUGCAUUUUCUGAAACAAUACAGCCAUCCUUCCCUAUUUGAACUUAUUCAAUUUUUGCAAAGCAAUCCUCCAAGCAAUUUUUUUAAAAUGUCUACGUUAGAGGGAGAUGCAUAUAAAAAUGAAUAAGGUUAGUGAAAAUAACGUACACAAAUGCAUUAUAUUAGGAUAAAUUGCUUGUAAAAAUGUGUACGAUAACCCAAACUGCAUACAAAAGUGUGUUCGUUGGGAUAAAAUUGUGCUAAAAUGCUCAAUAAUUUUCAUUUUAAAGAUAGCAAAUUGCAGUAGAAACGUGGAGAGCUGAAUUCAAGGUUGACAAGAAGAGGAGAAACUGAGAUAAUUGAGAAGUCCUUCCAUCCCUUACUCAAAACUUCAUCAGAGCAAUGAAAGAUUGCCUUAUAACAGCAGUAAUUUUAUUGGCUACUCAUCUUAACUAGAUGGAGGCAUUCCUCUGCCCUUUUGAUUCCAAAACAACUUCUUUGUUGAAUAUGAAGAAAGCAGUUCCUGACUAGUUCAGACCUUUUACCCUGUGUUAUGUUUUCCUAAUAAUUAUUUUUAACUUGGCAAGCGGUCUCUCUUUGAUACUUCUCUGCCCUGGCUAAUUUAGAAAGGAAUGUCUAGAAGAUACACAUAGCAGCCAAGUCGAUCUCUUGGAUGAGCUUAUCACAGGGCUUGUGGAUUUUGACUUUUGGUCUUAACAAAUUCCACUAGUAUGAAGUCAGUUGACAUGAAGAUCUUUGGCACAUUUAUUUCCCAGCAGGCAUUAAACCAUGAUGCAAGCAGAUUUCCAACUGGUGAACACAGCCCAAAAUAGCAGCCAGGUCAGCAGGCCUAUUGACUUUUAAAUGUUGACAAAGGAAACUUCCUGAAGUGUCUGCUCAGAAACUGUGCAUUCAAUAGUACCUGCACUGACUCCCUUGCAUGUGCUGUUUGCAGGUCUUAGAUCUAUAAAUGGCAAACACAGAAAUCUUUGCUAUCACUGCAAAUAAUUGUUUAUCUCCUAAACCCAUAAAAUUAUAAAGGUUGCUGGUGUGGAAUUAGUUUUUUUAAAAAAACCUAGAUAUUUUUUGGCACACCAUCAGAAAGCAGUUCUUAGAUGGACAAUAAAAU